rnacentral:rRNA from 1 species
CAAUAGCGUAUAUUAAAGCUGUUGCGGUUAAAAAGCUCGUAGUUGGAUUUCUGUCAAGGACAACUGGUCCGCCCUCCGGGUGAGCACAUAGUUUGGUCUUGACAUCUUGCUGGAAGCUGUUGCUGCACUUGGCUGUGUGGCGCAGUGUUCAGCACUUUCACUUUGAGGAAAUUGGAGUGUUUCAAGCAGGCACAUGCCUUUGGACACAGUAGCAUGGAAUAAUUAGAUUGGGCUUUUGCUCCAAUUUGUCGGUUUCUGGAGCUGAGGUGAGUAUUAAUGGGGAUUGUUGGGGGCAUCCGAAUUUAGCCGUCAGAGGUGAAAUUCUUGGAUCUGCUAAAGACGGACAACUGCGAAAGCGUUUGCCCAGGAUGAUUUCAUUGA